rnacentral:rRNA from 1 species
ACAUAUGAUAACCGUAGUAUUCUUCAGCUAAUACAUGCUGUAAGCCUGCCUUUAUGGAAAGGUUGUAUUUAUUAUAUCCCAAACCAAUAGUUUCUACUAGUGUGACGAGUCAUAAUAACUGGUCGGAUCGGACAUUGCUCGAUGGAUCCUUCACGUUUCUGCCCUAUCUCCUUUCCAAGAUAUUGUAUUGAACUAUCUUGGCAAUUACGGGUAACUGGGAAUUAAGGUUCGAUUCCGGAGAGGGAGCCUGAAAAACGGCUACCACUUCUAAGGAAGGCACCAGGCGCGUAAAUUACCCAAUCCUGAUUCAAGGAGGUAGUGACAAGAAAUAUUAACAAAAGGGCUUUGCCUUAUCUGAUUAACAUGAGGACAAUCUAAUAAACCUUACCGAGGAACAAUU